GCAGUCGCCGCGGGAAUACGAAGGGUGCAAGCGUUAAUCGGAAUUACUGGGCGUAAAGCGUGCGUAGGCGGUGAGUUAAGUCUGCUGUGAAAUCCCCGGGCUCAACCUGGGAAUGGCAGUGGAUACUGGCUCGCUAGAGUGUGUCAGAGGAUGGUGGAAUUCCCGGUGUAGCGGUGAAAUGCGUAGAGAUCGGGAGGAACAUCAGUGGCGAAGGCGGCCAUCUGGGACAACACUGACGCUGAGGCACGAAAGCGUGGGGAGCAAACAGGAUUAGAUACCCCGGUAGUCCCUGUCUCUUAUAA
rnacentral:rRNA from 1 species